rnacentral:lncRNA from 1 species
AGAAUGUGACAGGGGCUGUGACAAAGGCUGUGACAGAGACUAUGGGACUGUGACAGAUGUGACGGGCUAUGACAGGGACUAUGAUGGGGCUGUGCAGGGGCUGUGACAGAAGUGACAGGGCUGUAAUAGGGGCUAAGAAAGGGGCUGUGACAGGUCCUGGGACAGGGGCUGUGAAAGACUGGGAGAGGGACUGGGACAGAAAAGUGACUAGAAUCUGGAACCACAAUCAGAGUUGGGACAACAGCUCCUCGAGCCCAGGCCCACACUCCCACAGUCGACAGAGCAGUUGGCGGUGACAACAGCAACACAGCAAACACACGGGCCCAGCCAGGCCCAGGCAUGUGUGGAAAUGCCAGCAGGCUGAAGCUGCCAUAGGAAGAGAGCAAGAGGGAGCCACACAAGAGGAGUUGACUGGGGAGGAAGGACAAGGAAGGAGGAGAAUGUGGCUGGCAGGAGGAAGAAGGCAAAGAAGAGGAAGCUGAGCAAAAAAGUGCUUUCUCGAAAGGAGAUGAAGUUCAUGCUGUCUGCUGGAAGAAGGAAAGGGGGACAGCACCUCUUGGGAACUGCUGACACCAGAAAUGAAGAUGGAUUUUUCUGCAGGUCCUAUUACAGAAGCUUUGUGAAUAUUACUCUCACUAACUCUGGUUUGCUACGGCCACAGACAGCUGGAUGUAUUUCUUUCCCUCAUCCACGGCUCCUGACCUGGCAUCCUGACUCACGGACUGCUGUCACCUGUCAUACCAGAUUUUGGUCCUGGUAACCCAUACCAGCCAUCUUGUCCUGGCAACCUCAUCAUCUCGGUUAGCUUUACUUAGCGGUUGAAAUAGAGCCCAAAGAUAG